rnacentral:rRNA from 1 species
AUUGAACGCUGGCGGCAUGCCUUACACAUGCAAGUCGAACGGCAGCGGACCUUCGGGUGCCGGCGAGUGGCGAACGGGUGAGUAAUAUAUCGGAACGUACCUUUCAGUGGGGGAUAACGUAGCGAAAGUUACGCUAAUACCGCAUAUUCUGUGAGCAGGAAAGCAGGGGAUCGCAAGACCUUGCGCUGAUUGAGCGGCCGAUAUCAGAUUAGCUAGUUGGUGAGGUAAAGGCUCACCAAGGCGACGAUCUGUAGCGGGUCUGAGAGGAUGAUCCGCCACACUGGAACUGAGACACGGUCCAGACUCCUACGGGAGGCAGCAGUGGGGAAUUUUGGACAAUGGGGGCAACCCUGAUCCAGCCAUUCCGCGUGAGUGAAGAAGGCCUCGGUUGUAAGUACUCUUCUAGCAGGAACGAAACGGUAGGUCCCGUAA